AACGAAAAAAGACCUACGAAGGUUAACCAGCGACGAAAAAACCUAAACCUAUCGCCCGCUCCCUCGCGCCCCUGUUGCUCCCUCCUCAAUCCCGAUCUGGAUCGAGGGGACGAGGAGCUCCUGCCUCCCCGACGGCCGGCCUCCUCCUCGCCCCGCCGCUGCAUCCGGCGCCGCCACGGGCUCUGGAGCCAGGGAAGCCAUGGCCUGAGCUCGGCCUCGAGGUCCCCCCGCCGUCUCCUGCAGCUUCUGCCCCGCCGCCUCAACGCCUGAGCUCGCCAUCACACCAACCUCGGCGCCGCGCCGCCGCCGGCUCUGGUCGCCUCCACCUCCGCUCCAGGCAACCCUCGGUCGCCGGCUCGCUGGAGCACGACGGCAGACGAUGGAUGCCCUGGUUGUGUGCGACGGUUGCAGUUCUUACGCGCAAGCUAGGGUUGGAGCCGCCAGCUCUUCAUCCUGCCCGCCGGCGGCGAGUCUUCCUGUCCCGCACUGCCGCCUCCCCGUUAUCACAGCAUGGUCAAAACAAUGGUGCCUUCACCCUUGCUCGUGCCUCAACCCACAUGGUCAUCUUUGAGACGUGGUAUUCAGUCACAUGACAGAGUUCUCUUUAUCCUUGAGGUCAGGUGCGGCAACUAGCGACAUGUGCUGGAACUUCUGGCUUCGCUGGCGGCGGCAUCACCUGCAUCGACCUCUCCCUGGUCGCCUUCGAGAGUGUGUGCGGCCGACCAUCAAGCUUGUUAUGACGCACUUUGAAUUUCCGAGCAAGUCGCAGCCUUUUCAGAUUCAUCAACACAGGUUACAUCGGUAGUCAAUAUGGUUCAGAUGCAUAAUAGUACGUACUUCAUUUCCUUUUUGUUGUGUACGGUGUCCUACAACAUGGAUCAUAUAUAUCGGUUAUCUUUCAGGUUCAGUUUGCUGUGGCGAAUUCUUCUUGAAUUUGUUGCAGCAAACUUGUGGUCAUGUAUGGUUUUUAGUUUUGCAAGCAUGCAUAGUUUAGAAGUUAGAAAGCUCGUUCAUGUAUUGUUCUAAACUGAAAGUUUAAGUGGCUUUUCCACCCAUGGUAUUGUGGUGGUCAUAAUAGCACACCUCACAAUUAUUAUGGCCAGAUCUACAAGCACUGAGCGUUGUGUUUUUUAGCCCCCUCUGUUUCUCCUGGGCAUCAAUCUAUGCGCAACAAGCUCUUCAGUGCUUGAUGACAAAUAAAGGUUGCAUCUUAGAUAUUUGCUUGAUUUGAAUGAGCCAUUUUGCUGUCAGCUAAACUGUUAAAAGUCAGAUGUAAGAUUAUGUUUCUUGGCACAUGAGUUAUUUUUCAGUCAACGCAUGGCGAGUCCACUUCGAACUGAUAUAUGCACUUUUUAUUUGAAACUGAACCACCAUGGUUUAAUUUUAUUUUCAUUUGGACAAGUUACCCCAAGUAUCAUCAGUUCAUGAUGACUGGUUUGGUGUGAUGAAUUGAUCCUGGUGCUGAUUUAAGA